AGCUUAUCAAGAGUGGCGGAGGGAACUGGCCCAAUGAAGCCCGGCAACCUACUGAAAGGAGUAAGGUGCUAAUUCCAGCAAAAUGGUGUCCAUUUUGAAAGAUAAGGU
rnacentral:ncRNA from 2 species